rnacentral:lncRNA from 1 species
AACUUAACGCAAAUCACUUGAUCCAUCAUAUAUUUCUACUGGAAAUUACAAAACACAACACAGGAAAAAACUAAAGAGAUUACAAAUAAAGAUACAUAAUACAAACAUCCCAAGUCUUUAGACUAAUUACAGACCCUAGCUAACACUAUAUAUACACUGCUAGUUCCCACACAGCAUAUGGAUAUCCAUAACAACACCAGUAGGAGAAAUUUUCACCAAAGUGAGAAGCAUAUGACUUAGAAUGGUUAGAAGCAUAGGCUGCUUCAAAAAAUAAACUUGUAAAGAAUGGCAAGAAUCAUAUUUCUUCUCAGCACCAGUAGAAGAAAUGCAACAAAAUCAGACCCAUGUCGACUUCUUGGAAUGUUAAAUCUGGAAAAAUAAAAUUCAACAUAAGAGAUGUUUAACUUAACAGAAGUGAUAAACUUUAGAAACAUUAGUUGCUAAAGUAAUGGUUAAUGAAAAGGCUUUCAAGUGAAAUUUAAAAGUCUAUCAAGUUUGAUAAAUUAGAAUAUAAAUACAACAAUGUCAAGAGUUCCAAAAAAAGGCUUACAAAAGCUCAUGGACACACAUUAAGCAUCUGCUACAAAAGCUCGUUUGAAAGUUGUAAAUUCUAGUUUAAGUUAAAAAGACAAUAAUAAUGAAUCCCUAAUAUAUAGAUUGUUGUACACUAUUAUAUAGAUUUACAUGAGUUUAAAGUGCUGUUACAGAGAGAGAAAACUGAAGCUAAUAAUAGAAGGUUGUUACAGGGCUAUAGAGCAAAAGACAGAUAAGGCUAAAACAUAUUUACAACUUACGAAUCCAAAAUUAUUAACAUAAAGAUAGAAUAGCAGUAACUAUAUUGUGAGAACUACAAUAAAAAGCCGUGAUAAUAGCAAAAUCCAUCUGCAAAACUAUGGACUUAAUUUGAAGUGGGGACAGGAAC